GACGUAGGGGGCGAGCGUUGUCCGGAAUUACUGGGCGUAAAGAGCACGUAGGCGGAGACUUAAGUCAGAUGUGAAAGACCGGGGCUCAACCCCGGGGUUGCAUUUGAAACUGGGUCCCUUGAGGGCAGGAGAGGAAAGCAGAAUUCCUGGUGUAGCGGUGAAAUGCGUAGAAAUCAGGAGGAAUACCAGUGGCGAAGGCGGCUUUCUGGACUGUCCCUGACGCUGAGGUGCGAAAGCGUGGGUAGCAAACAGG
rnacentral:rRNA from 1 species